GACGAACGCUGGCGGCGUGCUUAACACAUGCAAGUCGAACGGACAGGCCCUGCUUUUGUUGCGUGCUCGAUUGGCGAACGCGUGAGUAACACGUGAGUAACCUGCCCUUGUCUUUGGGAUAACUUCUGGAGACUGGGGCUAAUACCGGAUAGGAGCUCCUGCUGCAUGGGGUGGGAUGGAAAAUUUCGGCGGUUCGGGCUGGACUCGCGGGUUAUCAGCUUGUUUGUGGAGUAGUUGCUUACCAAGGCUUUGACGGCUAGCCCGCAUGAGAGGGUGAACGGGGACCAUGGUACUACGAGAGGCAGCAGAAUGCUACGGGAGGCAGUAGUCGGGAAUAUUGCAGAGUGGGCGGAAGCCUGAUGCGGCAACGUCGCGUGCGGGAUGACGGCCUUCGGGUUGUAAACAGAUUUGGAAGGUGACGAAGAGUGCGUGACGGUAAUGGGUAAAGAAGCCCCGGCUAACUACGUG
rnacentral:rRNA from 1 species